rnacentral:rRNA from 1 species
GACGAACGCUGGCGGCGUGCUUAACACAUGCAAGUCGAACGGAAGGGCCCUGCUCUUGUGGGGUGCUCGAGUGGCGAACGGGUGAGUAACACGUGAGUAACCUGCCCUUGACUUUGGGAUAACUCUAGGAAACUGGGGCUAAUACCGGAUAGGAGCUCCUGCUGCACGGUGGGGGUUGGAAAGUUUCGGUGGUUGGGGAUGGACUCGCGGCUUAUCAGCUUGUUGGUGGGGUAGUGGCUUACCAAGGUUUUGACGGGUAGCCGGCCUGAGAGGGUGACCGGGCUCAUUGGGACUGAGGUACGGCCCAGACUCCUACGGGAGGCAGCAGUGGGGAGUAUUGCACAGUGGGCGGAAGCCUGAUGCAGCAACGCCGCGUGCGGGAUAACGGCCUUCGGGUUGUAAACCGCUUUCGCCUGUGACGAAGCGUGAGUGACGGUAAUGGGUAAAGAAGCACCGGCUAACUACGUG